AUCACUAAGGUAUCAUGUUAAAAUGUAGAUUUUGAUUCAAUAGUUGGAGUCUGAGAUUCUACAUUUUUAACAAGUACUCACAUGAUAGUAA
rfam:Pan troglodytes isolate Yerkes chimp pedigree #C0471 (Clint) chromosome 17, whole genome shotgun sequence.